rnacentral:rRNA from 1 species
AAACAAGAAAGGGCUUAUAAUGCAAGUCGAGCGGACAGAUGGGAGCUUGCUCCCUGAUGUUAGCGGCGGACGGGUGAGUAACACGUGGGUAACCUGCCUGUAAGACUGGGAUAACUCCGGGAAACCGGGGCUAAUACCGGAUGGUUGUUUGAACCGCAUGGUUCAGACAUAAAAGGUGGCUUCGGCUACCACUUACAGAUGGACCCGCGGCGCAUUAGCUAGUUGGUGAGGUAACGGCUCACCAAGGCAACGAUGCGUAGCCGACCUGAGAGGGUGAUCGGCCACACUGGGACUGAGACACGGCCCAGACUCCUACGGGAGGCAGCAGUAGGGAAUCUUCCGCAAUGGACGAAAGUCUGACGGAGCAACGCCGCGUGAGUGAUGAAGGUUUUCGGAUCGUAAAGCUCUGUUGUUAGGGAAGAACAAGUGCCGUUCAAAUAGGGCGGCACCUUGACGGUACCUAACCAGAAAGCCACGGCUAACUACGUGCCAGCAGCCGCGGUAAUACGUAGGUGGCAAGCGUUGUCCGGAAUUAUUGGGCGUAAAGGGCUCGCAGGCGGUUUCUUAAGUCUGAUGUGAAAGCCCCCGGCUCAACCGGGGAGGGUCAUUGGAAACUGGGGAACUUGAGUGCAGAAGAGGAGAGUGGAAUUCCACGUGUAGCGGUGAAAUGCGUAGAGAUGUGGAGGAACACCAGUGGCGAAGGCGACUCUCUGGUCUGUAACUGACGCUGAGGAGCGAAAGCGUGGGGAGCGAACAGGAUUAGAUACCCUGGUAGUCCACGCCGUAAACGAUGAGUGCUAAGUGUUAGGGGGUUUCCGCCCCUUAGUGCUGCAGCUAACGCAUUAAGCACUCCGCCUGGGGAGUACGGUCGCAAGACUGAAACUCAAAGGAAUUGACGGGGGCCCGCACAAGCGGUGGAGCAUGUGGUUUAAUUCGAAGCAACGCGAAGAACCUUACCAGGUCUUGACAUCCUCUGACAAUCCUAGAGAUAGGACGUCCCCUUCGGGGGCAGAGUGACAGGUGGUGCAUGGUUGUCGUCAGCUCGUGUCGUGAGAUGUUGGGUUAAGUCCCGCAACGAGCGCAACCCUUGAUCUUAGUUGCCAGCAUUCAGUUGGGCACUCUAAGGUGACUGCCGGUGACAAACCGGAGGAAGGUGGGGAUGACGUCAAAUCAUCAUGCCCCUUAUGACCUGGGCUACCACGUGCUACAUGGACAGAACAAGGGCAGCGAAACCGCGAAGUUAAGCCAUCCCCAAAUCUGUUCCAGUUCGGAUCCAAUCUGCACUCAAUGCGUGAACUGGAAUCCUAUAAUCCGGAAAACCUGCCCGGGGAAAACUUUUCGGGCCUU